rnacentral:rRNA from 1 species
ACGCUCGACACCUACGGAGGCAGCAGUGGGGAAUAUUGCACAAUGGGGGAAACCCUGAUGCAGCGACGCCGCGUGGAGGAAGAAGGUCUUCGGAUUGUAAACUCCUGUUGUUGGGGAAAAAGAGGAUGGUACCCAACAAGGAAGUGACGGCUAACUACGUGCCGCAGCCGCCGGUAAGUACUGAGCGGGCGUGGCGAAGGACG